UACGAAGGGUGCAAACGUUGCUCGGAAUUAUUGGGCGUAAAGCGCACGUAGGCGCUUUGUAAGUUUGGAUGUGAAAGCCCUCGGCUCAACCAAGGAAGUGCAUCCAAAAACUACAAAGCUUGAGUACUUAAGAGGAUCGCGGAAUUCCCGGUGUAGAGGUGAAAUUCGUAGAUAUCGGGAGGAACACCAGUGGCGAAGGGCGGCGAUCUGGGAAGAUAACUGACGCUGGAGGUGCGAAAAGCGUGGGGGAGCAAACAGG
rnacentral:rRNA from 1 species